GCCGGGCCAGAGUUCUUGUAGGCGUCAUCAGUAGCGAUCGCUACGGUUGAUGGUACAGCGCGGA
rnacentral:sRNA from 1 species